rnacentral:rRNA from 1 species
CGCGGCCUAUCAGCUUGUUGGUGAGGUAACGGCUCACCAAGGCAUCGACGGGUAGCUGGUCUGAGAGGACGAUCAGCCACACUGGGACUGAGACACGGCCCAGACUCCUACGGGAGGCAGCAGUAGGGAAUCUUGCGCAAUGGGCGAAAGCCUGACGCAGCAACGCCGCGUGGGGGAUGAAUGCCUUCGGGUUGUAAACCCCUUUCAGCAGGGACGAAAAUGACGGUACCUGCAGAAGAAGCUCCGGCCAACUACGUGCCAGCAGCCGCGGUAAUACGUAGGGAGCGAGCGUUGUCCGGAAUUAUUGGGCGUAAAGAGCUCGUAGGCGGUUCAGUAAGUCGGGUGUGAAAACUCAAGGCUCAACCUUGAGACGCCACUCGAUACUGCUGUGACUUGAGUCCGGUAGAGGAGUGUGGAAUUCCUGGUGUAGCGGUGAGAUGCGCAGAUAUCAGGAGGAACACCAGCGGCGAAGGCGGCACUCUGGGCCGGUACUGACGCUGAGGAGCGAAAGCAUGGGGAGCAAACAGGAUUAGAUACCCUGGUAGUCCAUGCCGUAAACGUUGGGCACUAGGUAUGGGAUCAUAUCAACGGAUUCCGUGCCGUAGCUAACGCAUUAAGUGCCCCGCCUGGGGAGUACGG